rnacentral:rRNA from 1 species
CCUACGGGUGGCUGCAGUGGGGAAUAUUGCGCAAUGGGCGAAAGCCUGACGCAGCGACGCCGCGUGAGGGAUGAAGGUCUUCGGAUCGUAAACCUCUGUCAGCAGGGAAGAACGGUCACUGUGCUAAUCAGCAGUGAAUUGACGUUACCUGCAAAGGAAGCACCGGCUAACUCCGUGCCAGCAGCCGCGGUAAGACGGAGGGUGCGAGCGUUAAUCGGAAUUACUGGGCGUAAAGCGCUCGUAGGCGGUAUGUCACGUCAAGGGUGAAAUCCCCGCGCUCAACGGGGGAACUGCCUUUGAAACUGGCAAACUGGAGUGUGUGAGAGGAUAGUGGAAUUCCAGGUGUAGGAGUGAAAUGCGUAGAUAUCUGGAGGAACAUCAGUGGCGAAGGCGACUAUCUGGCACAUAACUGACGCUGAGGAGCGAAAGCGUGGGUAGCAAACAGGAUUAGAUACCCUUGUAGUC